rnacentral:rRNA from 1 species
GACGAACCGUGCGACCGUUGUUCGGAAUCACUGGGCUUAAAGGGCGCGUAGGCGGUUUCGCAAGUCUGUGGUGAAAGCCCCCAGCUUAACUGGGGAAGUGCCGUGGAUACUGCGAAUCUUGAGGAGGGUAGGGGCGUCUGGAACGGUCGGUGGAGCGGUGAAAUGCGUUGAUAUCGACCGGAACUCCGGUGGCGAAGGCGAGGCGCUGGACCCUUUCUGACGCUGAGGCGCGAAAGCCAGGGGAGCAAACGGG